UCCGUAGGCGGUGUGGCAAGUCGGAAGUGAAAUCUCUGGGCUUAACUCAGAGGCUGCUUCCGAAACUGCCGUGCUAGAGUGCGAGAGAGGCAAGCGGAAUUGCGGGUGUAGCGGUGAAAUGCGUAGAUAUCCGCAGGAACAUCCGAGGCGAAAGCGGCUUGCUGGAUCGCAACUGACGCUGAGGGACGAAAGCUAGGGGAGCAAACAGGAUUAGAUACCCUGGUAGUCCUAGCCCUAAACCAUCAGGACUUGGGGUUUGCCCUGUACGGGGCAAGUCCCGUAGCUAACGCGUUAAGUCCUGCGCCUGGGGAGUACGGUCGCAAGGCUGAA
rnacentral:rRNA from 1 species